GAUCCUGGCUCAGGAUGAACGCUAGCUACAGGCUUAACACAUGCAAGUCGAGGGGAAACGAUAUUGGAAGCUUGCUUCCGAUAGGCGUCGACCGGCGCACGGGUGAGUAACGCGUAUCCAACCUGCCCACCACUUGGGGAUAACCUUGCGAAAGUAAGACUAAUACCCAAUGAUAUCUCUAGAAGACAUCUGAAAGAGAUUAAAGAUUUACCGGUGUAAGAUGGGGAUGCGUUCCAUUAGAUAGUAGGG
rnacentral:rRNA from 1 species